AGGUUGUUUCGACUGGUCCUACUCCUGAGUGGGAAGAGAGCUUUGCCUGGGCAUUUGAUAGUCCCCCUAACGGGCAGAAGCUUCAUAUCUCGUGCAAGAACAAGAGCAAGUUUGGAAAGAGUUCUUUUGGAAAAGUAACUAUCCAGAUUGAUCGGGUUGUAAUGCUUGGAGCAGUUGCUGGGGAGUACACCCUUCUUCCAGAAAGCAAAAGUGGGCCAUCUCGGAACCUGGAAAUUGAGUUCCAAUGGUCCAACAAAUAGUGGACCGUAAUGGAGUGAGGUGAUUGCUCGAUUAAUUGUAAUUUUAAAUUUGAAGCAGAGAUAUAUAUAGCAAACAAAAAGGGAUUUUUUUUCAAUUAUUUAUUCAGAAUUUCAUUGUACAUAGACAAAGAGUUCUGAUGGGAUCCAUAGAGAGGAGUUUGGACUCUGUAAGUGUAAACUGUCCUUGUUUGUAGAAUCAUGGGUUUGUUGUCUGUUUAGGUUCUGUGUCGAUUCAUUCUUUUUGUAUCCUAUAUUUGUUUCUAUAUUUAUCAAAUAUGUUGAGGAGAGAAUAAUUAGA